UACAGAGGGUGCGAGCGUUAAUCGGAUUUACUGGGCGUAGAGCGUACGUAGGCGGCUGAUUAAGUCGGAUGUGAAAUCCCUGAGCUUAACUUAGGAAUUGCAUUCGAUACUGGUCAGCUAGAGUAUGGGAGAGGAUGGUAGAAUUCCAGGUGUAGCGGUGAAAUGCGUAGAGAUCUGGAGGAAUACCGAUGGCGAAGGCAGCCAUCUGGCCUAAUACUGACGCUGAGGUGCGAAAGCGUGGGGAGCAAAC
rnacentral:rRNA from 1 species